CGCUCAUCCAGAGGGGCAGAGGGAUACGGCCCGUUGAAGCCCCGGCAACCCUCCAGCUGGUACUCGAGAGCACGUAGCGUCCGAAGGGCCCCGUCAGGGGCGGUGGUCGGGCGACGGGCGGGCGAGGCUCCCGGCUAGGGAAGGUGCCAAUUCCGUCUCAUGGCGAUGUUCGCCGUGAGGAAGAUGAGGA
rnacentral:ncRNA from 2 species